AUCUUCCUUUUACUCCGUCUCUUCCAAAGUGGUUGGAGAAGAUGUGACUGUUCAGAAAAGAAAGGUCGUAACGGUACCACUCGACGACGACAUCACGAAAUAUUAAAAAACCGGGGAAGGAUCUACAAGCGUCGGACUACCAAGACGUGUUAACCAUCCUCGUCGCUUACACGAGUACCUUCGAGUAAUUGAACUAAUCGUCGCCGCGGCGAGGAGGAGUACCGGUACCCACUUCGUCGUCGCCGCGGCGAGGAGGAGUACCGGUACCGGUGUAGGAGGAGGUGUGGAGGAAACGUGCGCGAAGGGCGAAGGCGAACGAGCAAGAGGCCCACAACAUCAAUCUUGUCCGUCCCACCUCUCCCGUGUGUCUUCGAUCCGUCCGGUGUCUGUUGUCACACGACGUCUGAACUCACUCC
rnacentral:rRNA from 1 species